rnacentral:rRNA from 1 species
CUUUACUGUAGCUUUGCAUUGGACUUUGACGGGACUUGUGUAGGAUAGGUGGGAGGCGCUGAGACCAGGACGCUAGUUCUGGUGGAGCCGUCCUUGAAAUACCACCCUGGUGUCGUUGAGGUUCUAACCUAGGUCCAUCAUCUGGAUCGGGGACCGUGCAUGGUAGGCAGUUUGACUGGGGCGGUCUCCUCCCAAAAGGUAACGGAGGAGUACGAAGGUCUUCUAGGUACGGUCGGACAUCGUACUGAUAGUGCAAUGGCAAAAGAAGGCUUGACUGCGAGACCGACAAGUCGAGCAGGUGCGAAAGCAGGUCAUAGUGAUCCGGUGGUUCUGUAUGGAAGGGCCAUCGCUCAACGGAUAAAAGGUA